rnacentral:rRNA from 1 species
AGGACGAACGCUGGCGGCGUGCUUAACACAUGCAAGUCGAGCGGAAAGGCCCUUCGGGGUACUCGAGCGGCGAACGGGUGAGUAACACGUGAGUAAUCUGCCCCUAGCUCUGGGAUAGCUCCGGGAAACCGGGAUUAAUACUGGAUACGACCACCUUAGACAUCUUUUGUGGUGGAAAGAAUUUCGGCUAGGGAUGAGCUCGCGGCCUAUCAGCUUGUUGGUGGGGUAACGGCCUACCAAGGCGACGACGGGUAGCCGGCCUGAGAGGGCGACCGGCCACACUGGGACUGAGACACGGCCCAGACUCCUACGGGAGGCAGCAGUGGGGAAUCUUGCACAAUGGACGAAAAGUCUGAUGCAGCAACGCCGCGUGGGGGAUGAAGCUUCUCGGAGUGUAAACCCUUUCGACCCGGAAGAAUGCCCGCAAGGGUAUGACGGUACGGGUAUAAGAAGCCCCGGCUAACUACGUGCCAGCAGCCGC